GGUCAAGUGAAGAAGCGCAUACGGUGGAUGCCUUGGCAGUCAGAGGCGAUGAAAGACGUGGUAGCCUGCGAAAAGCUUCGGGGAGUCGGCAAACAGACUUUGAUCCGGAGAUCUCUGAAUGGGGGAACCCACCUAGGAUAACCUAGGUAUCUUGUACUGAAUCCAUAGGUGCAAGAGGCGAACCAGGGGAACUGAAACAUCUAAGUACCCUGAGGAAAAGAAAUCAACCGAGAUUCCCUUAGUAGUGGCGAGCGAACGGGGAUUAGCCCUUAAGCUUCAUUGAUUUUAGCGGAACGCUCUGGAAAGUGCGGCCAUAGUGGGUGAUAGCCCCGUACGCGAAAGGAUCUUUGAAGUGAAAUCGAGUAGGACGGAGCACGAGAAACUUUGUCUGAACAUGGGGGGACCAUCCUCCAAGGCUAAAUACUACUGACUGACCGAUAGUGAACCAGUACCGUGAGGGAAAGGCGAAAAGAACCCCGGAGAGGGGAGUGAAAUAGAACCUGAAACCGUAUGCGUACAAGCAGUGGGAGCCUACUUGUUAGGUGACUGCGUACCUUUUGUAUAAUGGGUCAGCGACUUAUAUUCAGUGGCAAGCUUAACCGUAUAGGGUAGGCGUAGCGAAAGCGAGUCUUAAUAGGGCGUUUAGUCGCUGGGUAUAGACCCGAAACCGGGCGAUCUAUCCAUGAGCAGGUUGAAGGUUAGGUAACACUGACUGGAGGACCGAACCCACUCCCGUUGAAAAGGUAGGGGAUGACUUGUGGAUCGGAGUGAAAGGCUAAUCAAGCUCGGAGAUAGCUGGUUCUCCUCGAAAGCUAUUUAGGUAGCGCCUCAUGUAUCACUCUGGGGGGUAGAGCACUGUUUCGGCUAGGGGGUCAUCCCGACUUACCAAACCGAUGCAAACUCCGAAUACCCAGAAGUGCCGAGCAUGGGAGACACACGGCGGGUGCUAACGUCCGUCGUGAAAAGGGAAACAACCCAGACCGCCAGCUAAGGUCCCAAAGUUGUGGUUAAGUGGUAAACGAUGUGGGAAGGCUUAGACAGCUAGGAGGUUGGCUUAGAAGCAGCCAUCNNNNNNNNNNNNNNNNNNNNNNNNNNNNNNNNNNNNNNNNNNNNNNNNNNNNNNNNNNNNNNNNNNNNNNNNNNNNNNNNNNNNNNNNNNNNNNNNCGCUGGCUGGUCGAAGAUACCAGGCCGCUGCGACUGUUUAUUAAAAACACAGCACUCUGCAAACACGAAAGUGGACGUAUAGGGUGUGACGCCUGCCCGGUGCCGGAAGGUUAAUUGAUGGGGUUAGCGCAAGCGAAGCUCUUGAUCGAAGCCCCGGUAAACGGCGGCCGUAACUAUAACGGUCCUAAGGUAGCGAAAUUCCUUGUCGGGUAAGUUCCGACCUGCACGAAUGGCGUAACGAUGGCGGCGCUGUCUCCACCCGAGACUCAGUGAAAUUGAAAUCGCUGUGAAGAUGCAGUGUAUCCGCGGCUAGACGGAAAGACCCCGUGAACCUUUACUGUAGCUUUGCACUGGACUUUGAGCCUGCUUGUGUAGGAUAGGUGGGAGGCUUUGAAGCGUGGACGCCAGUUCGCGUGGAGCCAUCCUUGAAAUACCACCCUGGCAUGCUUGAGGUUCUAACUCUGGUCCGUGAUCCGGAUCGAGGACAGUGUAUGGUGGGCAGUUUGACUGGGGCGGUCUCCUCCUAAAGAGUAACGGAGGAGUACGAAGGUGCGCUCAGACCGGUCGGAAAUCGGUCGCAGAGUAUAAAGGCAAAAGCGCGCUUGACUGCGAGACAGACACGUCGAGCAGGUACGAAAGUAGGUCUUAGUGAUCCGGUGGUUCUGUAUGGAAGGGCCAUCGCUCAACGGAUAAAAGGUACUCCGGGGAUAACAGGCUGAUACCGCCCAAGAGUUCAUAUCGACGGCGGUGUUUGGCACCUCGAUGUCGGCUCAUCACAUCCUGGGGCUGAAGCCGGUCCCAAGGGUAUGGCUGUUCGCCAUUUAAAGUGGUACGCGAGCUGGGUUUAGAACGUCGUGAGACAGUUCGGUCCCUAUCUGCCGUGGACGUUUGAGAUUUGAGAGGGGCUGCUCCUAGUACGAGAGGACCGGAGUGGACGAACCUCUGGUGUUCCGGUUGUCACGCCAGUGGCAUUGCCGGGUAGCUAUGUUCGGAAAAGAUAACCGCUGAAAGCAUCUAAGCGGGAAACUUGCCUCAAGAUGAGAUCUCACUGGGAACUUGAUUCCCCUGAAGGGCCGUCGAAGACUACGACGUUGAUAGGCUGGGUGUGUAAGCGUUGUGAGGCGUUGAGCUAACCAGUACUAAUUGCCCGUGAGGCUUGACCAU
rnacentral:rRNA from 1 species